UUGGCAGCAGUGGGGAAUAUUGGACAAUGGACCAAAAGUCUGAUCCAGCAAUUCUGUGUGCUUGAUGAAGGCCUUCGGGUUGUAAAGAGCUUUAAGUAGGGAAGAAGAAAGUGACGGUACCUACGAAAUAAGAGACGGCUAAAUACGUGCAGCAGCCGCGGUAAUAACGUAUGUCGCAACGUUAUCCGGAAUUAAUGGGGCAUAAAGGGCGUCUGGCGGUUUAAUAAGUCCUGAUGUGAAAAUGCGGGGCUCAACUCCGUAUUGCGUUGGAAACUACUAGACUAGAGUAUGGGAGAGGUAAGCGGAACUACAAGUGUAGAGGUGAAAUUCGUAGAUAUUUGUAGGAAUGCCAAUUGGGAAGCCAGCUUACUGGACAAAUACUGACGCUGAAGCACGAAAGCUAGGGGAGCAAACAGGAUUAGAUACCCUGGUAGUCCUAGCUGUAAACGAUGAUCACUGGGUGUGGGGGGUCGAACCUCCGUGCCGAGCU
rnacentral:rRNA from 1 species